UUUACGGAGAGUUUGAUCCUGGCUCAGGACGAACGCUGGCGGCGUGCUUAACACAUGCAAGUCGAACGAUGAUGCCCAGCUUGCUGGGUGGAUUAGUGGCGAACGGGUGAGUAACACGUGAGUAACCUGCCCCUGACUCUGGGAUAAGCGUUGGAAACGACGUCUAAUACUGGAUAUGAUCACUGGCCGCAUGGUCUGGUGGUGGAAAGAUUUUUUGGUUGGGGAUGGACUCGCGGCCUAUCAGCUUGUUGGUGAGGUAAUGGCUCACCAAGGCGACGACGGGUAGCCGGCCUGAGAGGGUGACCGGCCACACUGGGACUGAGACACGGCCCAGACUCCUACGGGAGGCAGCAGUGGGGAAUAUUGCACAAUGGGCGAAAGCCUGAUGCAGCAACGCCGCGUGAGGGAUGACGGCCUUCGGGUUGUAAACCUCUUUUAGUAGGGAAGAAGCGAAAGUGACGGUACCUGCAGAAAAAGCACCGGCUAACUACGUGCCAGCAGCCGCGGUAAUACGUAGGGUGCAAGCGUUGUCCGGAAUUAUUGGGCGUAAAGAGCUCGUAGGCGGUUUGUCGCGUCUGCUGUGAAAUCCCGAGGCUCAACCUCGGGCUUGCAGUGGGUACGGGCAGACUAGAGUGCGGUAGGGGAGAUUGGAAUUCCUGGUGUAGCGGUGGAAUGCGCAGAUAUCAGGAGGAACACCGAUGGCGAAGGCAGAUCUCUGGGCCGUAACUGACGCUGAGGAGCGAAAGCAUGGGGAGCGAACAGGAUUAGAUACCCUGGUAGUCCAUGCCGUAAACGUUGGGCGCUAGAUGUAGGGACCUUUCCACGGUUUCUGUGUCGUAGCUAACGCAUUAAGCGCCCCGCCUGGGGAGUACGGCCGCAAGGCUAAAACUCAAAGGAAUUGACGGGGGCCCGCACAAGCGGCGGAGCAUGCGGAUUAAUUCGAUGCAACGCGAAGAACCUUACCAAGGCUUGACAUACACCGGAAACGGCCAGAGAUGGUCGCCCCCUUGUGGUCGGUGUACAGGUGGUGCAUGGUUGUCGUCAGCUCGUGUCGUGAGAUGUUGGGUUAAGUCCCAACAACGAGCGCAACCCUCGUUCUAUGUUGCCAGCGGGUUAUGCCGGGGACUCAUAGGAGACUGCCGGGGUCAACUCGGAGGAAGGUGGGGAUGACGUCAAAUCAUCAUGCCCCUUAUGUCUUGGGCUUCACGCAUGCUACAAUGGCCGGUACAAAGGGCUGCGAUACCGUAAGGUGGAGCGAAUCCCAAAAAGCCGGUCUCAGUUCGGAUUGAGGUCUGCAACUCGACCUCAUGAAGUCGGAGUCGCUAGUAAUCGCAGAUCAGCAACGCUGCGGUGAAUACGUUCCCGGGCCUUGUACACACCGCCCGUCAAGUCAUGAAAGUCGGUAACACCCGAAGCCGGUGGCCUAACCCUUGUGGAAGGAGCCGUCGAAGGUGGGAUCGGUGAUUAGGACUAAGUCGUAACAAGGUAGCCGUACCGGAAGGUGCGGCUGGAUCACCUCCUUU
rnacentral:rRNA from 1 species